GAUGAACGCUAGCGGCAGGCUUAAUACAUGCAAGUCGAGGGGUAGCAAGAUUGUAGCAAUACAAUUGUUGACGACCGGCAAACGGGUGCGGAACACGUACACAACCUUCCUACAAGUGGGGAAUAGCCCAGAGAAAUUUGGAUUAAUACCCCGUAACAUAGCGAUGUGGCAUCACAUUGCUAUUAUAGCUUCGGCGCUUGUUGAUGGGUGUGCGGCUGAUUAGAUAGUUGGCGGGGUAACGGCCCACCAAGUCUACGAUCAGUAGCUGAUGUGAGAGCAUGAUCAGCCACACGGGCACUGAGACACGGGCCCGAAUCCUACGGGAGGCAGCAGUAAGGAAUAUUGGACAAUGGACGCAAGUCUGAUCCAGCCAUGCCGCGUGAAGGAUUAAGGUCCUCUGGAUUGUAAACUUCUUUUAUAAGGGACGAAAAAAGGUCUUUCUAGAUCGUCUGACGGUACCUUAUGAAUAAGCACCGGCUAACUCCGUGCCAGCCGCCGCCGUAAUAC
rnacentral:rRNA from 1 species